GGUGAUAAACUGCAUUCUUACAGAAGGAUGUUUUUGAAUUGGGAAGUGGCUCCAUGACAUGCCCAAGAAUGUGGUUCACUGCAGUGAAUGACAGUUGAACUUUUUUUAGUUACUAUCAAGAGAAAAAAAGUAGUGGAUGCAUCACGUGACACUAAUGAUACCUGAGAGACUGCACCUUUUGUAGAGAGACAUUGUAUCAGCUGAAUGCGACUCGGCAGGGAGUCUGUGUGUUGCCAUUUGUGCUAUGGAAGUCAUGGAAAUGUAGGGCUGGAAGGGACCUCAAG